rnacentral:lncRNA from 1 species
UUUUUUUUUUUUUUGUAUGUAAACAACAAGAAGACAAGGUAACAACUAGAUAGGACUCUAAACCCCUUGCUACAAACUGAUUUUUUUUGGAUGAACAGUAAACUCAGAUGAUCAAAUAGAAUAAAAGACUGGAAUUAAAUGGAUAUAACAGAAUAGAAACAAGACACAAACACAAACAAAGAGUCAAGAAUAAGACACAAAAAAAAGGUUGGACCAAAUAAGUCUAACCACAACAAUUAACAACAACUAGACGCAAGUUUAUGACACGACAAAUCUGAAAAAAUAACGCAAGACCACGAUACAACAAAUCUGAAAAUUGCGGAUAGCAAACUUAGAACAUAAAAACAGAAUUUUCGUCAACUUGACUCGAAAAGCAAAUAAAUAAAGGGAUAUAACGUGAUACCUCUUAACUAGCUCUGAUUACCAACUGAUACGAACGUCGCCAACCUUGUGACGAAACCCGUAAAAAAUUAGCUUCAGGAUCGACAAGAGGACACCAAGUUUGGAGCGGAUGACCUCAACUCGUUAAUCACGUGGUUAACGAACCUUGGUAUAAUGGUAGAAGACGCCAUAACCUAGUGCGAUUCUAGAUUAAUAAGUCACGAACACCUAGAGAAAUUCUAAGGUAUUCAAGAAAUCUUGGAGAAACCAAGAAAAUUCUCAAAUUCUGAUUUAUUGAUUGAAUGUCUAAAACCGUUGGAAGUGUGGGCUAUUUAUAGCCUUACAUAGAGAUGAAAAACUAAAUAAUGUGGAACUAGUUUAGAAUUGUGGGUUUGACUAAGAUUAAGAAUUAUAGGUUUGACUAUUUCCAUAAGACUAAGAAUUGUAGACUUGACUGAACCUUAUGAGAUCAUCCCUUAGGUAAAUAAAGCAAGACUAUGGACCAUUAAACCCUUAUUACAAUGACUUAAUUAAAAUAGCAAAUGUGACUAGAGAAGGGUCACACAUGGUUCUCUUUGACGUGCACCACAUGGAUGACCUUCAUUCCUUCAUGCUCAAGUCUUUCAAUGACCUUGGGGACAAUUUCUUGGCCUUGUAUGUCACGAACAAGCCCUUGGAAUUCUUCCCUCAUCUUCUUAGCUCGUGCUCGAGUCACGGGUCCGAGAGAAACUCGAAUAGUUCGCAAUGGUGUCUCUUGGUUCAUAUCACAUCCUGGUUCUGCUAUGAAUUGUUUCAUUGACAGGUAGUGCCAAGUUCAUGCAUUUCCAUAUAAACAGCUUCAAUUUGUGCUUGACCUUGAAUUUCCACAGAUGUUUCCAUAGCUUCUUUUUCUCCCAGCUUGUCUCCUCUCCUGUUGCCUCUCUCUGUUGUUGUUGAGUACAUCUUUGCCUGUUAAUUUCUUUAUAUGCAAAAGUUACUGUGUAUUGGCCGUUCCAUUGUAUAGCCAAAAAAGGCAAUCCUCCCUGUUUGUCUAGAUGAUUGGGAUUCUCGGGAUCCUCUUUACCUUUUCUUCCUUAAACAAUUUAAAGAAUAGUGGCCUUUUCCGUUUGAAGUUGUGAAUCAGGUCCUUUACUUUUUAAACUCUGCAUUCAUGAGGUUUAAUUGAUCUCGGCUUCCCUUGUGGAUUCUCAGGUAGCCAGUUAUCCUCCCACACCCUUGUACUUUUACCAUUCCCAAUGUUCUUUCUGGUUCCUUUUUCCACCAUCUCCCUUACUCCCAUUCGGCUUCACCAAAUCCAAGAAGCAUUUUGUGGUACUUUGCAUCUGAAAAUGGAUUCUUUGUGGUAGAACUUGGGUUUUAAGAUUUUUCCAUUGUCACUAAUUUCCACACUUGUUUCCCCAGCAUAGCUCUGUGUUAAUCUUUGCCAUGAGCGUCAAUUAACUUUCUUUUUCCCAUUUCCUCUCCCCACCAGAAGUUAGACAUCAUAGAGCUCAAAUCCUUGCACAAUCUGACUAGCAGCUUAAAGCAUGACAUGCAUGACAUAGCAUAUGCAGGGAGUGCCAUUGUCACUGCUUUGGGAAGCACUUCUUUUCCUGCAGCACUAAGCAGUUUGUUCUUUUAUUGUUUCAGCCUCCUUUUACAAUUGUCUCUAAUGAAGCCACAAAUCUGUUGUUUGGUCCUUGUGAUCACCAUUGGUAACUCCAAGUAUUUACCCUGAGACACAACCUGGAUAUUCUCAAAAUUCUGGCAAAUCUCCUUCUGUGCUGUCUGUGUUACAUUUUUACUGAAAAACACUGAGGAUUUUGCUAGAUUUAUCAUCUGUCCAGAUCCUAUCUCACACUUAGAAUCUCUUUCAACUCAGAUGCUUCCUUAGGGUCUGCCUGGCUGAAAAUCAGUGAUUAAAACCACCAACAUAUUAAUGUGAUAAUAGGUUUUACUUUGAAUUCGACUACAAGGUAAUAGAUGAUGCAGGCUCCCCUCGAAGUAGAAACAAAUUCAUAUCAUAGAAAGAAAAUUCAAACGUGGCAUUUACAGAAGAGAUAGAAAGACAAAGGAGUAAAAGGGCAUUAUGUUGGUACAUGAUAACAAAAUGUUCCAAGAACUCGAGUGGAAUGAAGAUGAGUCAGCCAUGUCAGCAGCCUGAUUGGAAAGGUUAAAAUCUGGAACCUUUGCUCCAUAAUCUUCGAACACAACCAUAUUGCUGGAUCUGAUACUCCGUGAAUUAUAGCAGGUAGAACUUUCUCAUGCAAAUAUUCAAGUCCUCUGGCAACAUGAACAGUGAUUCUUGGACCUAUAGUACAGCUGAGUACUGAUCCCUUCGAAGUUUGCCCCCUUACCAUCCUGUAAGCACAAAUACAAUUCAAGAAACAUCUUCAAACCAUUCAUGGUUUCAAAAGAUGACUUUGACUCAAAUCAAACUGAACAACGCAUUCACUAGAUGAUGUAUCAAUUUUCUUAGAAUGCAGUAUGUCACACAACGAUCCCAUGGUUGCAAAGUCAUAAGCUACCACACAAAGAUUCACUUGUACACAGUAACCAAGCAGCUCCACAAGAUUCUCAAGCUUUAGCCAUAAGGCAUACAAACCUUUAAAAGGCACAACCUACCAUUUAGUUGCCUUGAGAAAAGAUAUGGCAGCAUGAAAGGAUAAAGAAUUGCAUACACGGGUACGUGAUAUCAGCACUGAAUUGCUUGACACUUACCUGUGUCAAGAACUCAAAGUUUGAUUUUGGCUCAGAUGACACAUCAAGCAUUUUUGCAGUCUCAGCUUAACCACUUUCCAGGUUGAAUGGUACUCUUCCAUAAGACUGUUCACCAGUUAAAAGCCUUUGCCAGAAAUUACGCGUCUUUUCUUUCAACUCAUCCAGAGAUGAAGCAGGCAUUUCAAUAGGUGCAAUUGCCUUUUGCUGUGACAUGACAGGAGCUGAUACCUUGAAUCACUUUGGUGCGAGAGAAGCCCAAAGGAAAGUAUGUUAGAAACAAUGCCCCACUGACAGAAGUCUAACUAGAAAAGUGAUCUUACCGUACUUCAAUCUAGUAAAACUGGUAGUAAACUCAAAGUUCUCCUGUAAUUGGUGCACCCUUCUUAGUUUAUUGAAAUUGACCUAAUCCAAAAGAGUGGAAAAGGAGGAUAAAAUUACUACAAGUGCUUGCGUUUUAGCCGAUACUCUAUAAAUAGACUUAAAAUAUACCACACAACUGGAUAUAACUUGACGUAUGGAUCCAAAAGAAUCUAACUCCCUCAAAAUUUUUGGCUAACAUUUGCAAGUAAUGCAUACAAAUCACAUCAACAUUAGAGUACCGUGCAAUGUAUAGCAUAUUAGAAGUGAGACAUUCAAUUCUCUACAGACAAGCAAUUUACAAAGUAUACACUCCUUAAAGCAACAGACUAAACAAAGCAUACAAAAACAUUGAGGGACUGGUCCACUUUGACCAACCAAAUUCAUGACAAAUGUGAAUCAAAAGUUAAACUUCUUGGGAGGAGCUUUUCCUUUCAAAUAAACUAAUAUCUCAUAUCACAUUCUCAUCUGCUAUAUAAUUCGUGAAAAUACUCAUUGCCAAAUAGCAAUAGCAACACCAAUCUGUUUUCUGUUACAACGUCAUAAAAAAAAUCCCUCUACAAGUAACUUCAGGACAAACUAAAAGUAGAUAAAACAUGGCAAAACAACCAGUGUGGAGGGAAUCAAAGACACAAUAUUCACAUGUAAUAGAUAUAGGCAUCCUUCAUAUCUUUAGCCAUCUUCAAUCUUUGUGCUGGAAGAAUGCCCACAGUAUCAAACAAUCAAUGCACCAAGGAAGCACCAUACAUCAGAAGCAAAAAGAGGCUUAAAAUGUAGAAAGACAAAAUAGUUUACCCAAUCUUCUGGAACAAAAGCCAUAAGAAAUCCAUUGCAAACACCUAGUAUCAUUACGUCCCUAAAGCUGUAAUAUUUCACCAGCCUAGAUAGAACUUACUUAUCAGUCCAUUAGAAGGAAGAAUAGUAGGGAGUCACUUCAAGGGGAGCUGUGAAGAAGUUCCAACGAACAAAACACAACCAUGAGCAAACGGCCAACAGCAGAAAACAAUAUCUGUCAUGUUAAAACUGCAUAAGAGAGAAUCAUAAGAACAUACAGUCAGCAUGAUUCUUUGAGCUUUUAAAGGGCUCAUGCUCAUUUGAUGAUAGGACUACUCAACUCGACAGGUACGGUAAAGCCAUCCAUGCAUCCUAGUUCUCUUCCUCAGAUAAAUAUCACCAUCAGCAGUUCUAUUUUCCAGAUGUACAAAGUAACCAGGAGGACAAGCAUAUGCAUGAAAUUGGCAGUCACUUCAUGUAUCUACCACCAUCACCAGAUAGACCAUAUACAAUCAUUUCAAAUGUGGGUUUGUAACAUCAAUACAUAUUGCCAAGGUUCUCUUAUAGUUUGUAUGGGAUGCCGAGCUGACAAUCAAUGACAGAUGCAUAAGCUUAAAUCCAAAUCAAGAGGUUAAUCAGAGGGAAAACAUUUCAUCUUUCAAAUAUAUUGCAACACCAUUCUGUAUCCCUCUAAUAAUAAGACAUGAUGAAACUUAUAUUGACGGAAAAUUCAAUUGAAAACUGUAAAAACUAAACGAGUGAAAGCCGCUUUCUGCAUCCAAUCCACUAAAAAACAAAUUAAUUGCACUAUGAGCACUUCAAAAAUUUGAACCAAAAAGCACAAACAAAUGCCUUCAGAAACAUAUUUGGCUCAGACACCUGCGUAUUUUUAUGCAUCAAAAGCAGACCAAAGUCACAAUUUGACACUGAUGCAUAAUCCUCCUCAAUUGAUCACAGGUUUCUACAAAUAUACACCCUUACAAAGUUAAAAUACACGCACAGCUAUGGAAUCAUAUCAUUGAAUAAAACCUUAUAAAACUAUUUCUGGGCUAUAAUCAAUUUAAACACAGGAUCCAAUUUCAUAUCCUUUUCUGCAAAAAAAAAAGCAUAGCAUUAUCUUUUCAAAAAUGCCAAUUUACAGUUCCCAAAUGCACAAGUUUUCAUGGUUAUUCAUAUUUAUAUCUCUGCAUCAUCAAAGGAAGUGGUACUGUACAAAAAUAAACAAUAGAUAAAUAAAGAAAACAAAGAAAGAACAUGUCAGAGGACUUCUAUCCCAGGAUCCAGCCAGAAAGAUGAUAAGAAUGAGUGCCAAGAAUAAGACUUAAACACCUACCAGACUUAAACACCUGCUUCAUUUAAGACUUAAACACCUACUAGACAGCAGGAAGUAAGGGAGCUUUAUAGCAACCAACAGUUGAUGUACAUAGACUAUGUAUAUUCCGACUAAAUGAAAUGGCCAAAAUGCAACCAGCUGAAAUAUCAUACCAGCAAGAUGAGAGAAUGGUCACGAUAUACAGGCAUAUCAGCCAAGAGAGAAAACAAAUGGCAAUAAUGUCCACAAAAGCAAAUCAAAACUGCCACAAAACAGAGAAUCCAUAUGAAAGGCAAACUUUGGUUGUGCCAGAUUUCCAUAUAAGACAGGUGAACAAGGAAGGAGGCCACUUCAGAUGUUAUAGUAGGAUAUAGGUGGAUAAAAGGACGAAUUUACCACUCACACAUCGUACAAUGCAAGGCAUUCCUAUGAAUGAGCUUUAUCGGAAAGAUAAAAUACCAACCAUUCAAAGUACCACCAUCCAUACUGUUUAAAAACUAACACUGAUACUGAUAAUUGAAAUCCAUGUUGACUUUACAUGCAAACCAGGUUAGACAGAUCUGCCAUCCCCAAGAGUAGGCUUUCAAAGGACAAAAACCGAGAAUUCAUAUUUUCCCAUUUGAGUUUUACUUGUAUGCUUAUUGAUCAGUGAAAAAGUUCAUGUUUCCAUCUGAAAGAACUGUAACUGAAGCAAUGAUGCAGCAGCAUCUAACUCAGAAGUAAAAGGUCACAGUUCAAGUGGUGAAUUGAUAUUUGCUUCUAAAAUAAAAGGUUGAGAUUUAAUCACGAUUCCCUUAAAAAGAAAAUAAGAAAAAAGAAAACAAAUGCUAUCCAAACGAAAUCUUGUCGAGGAAUAAAAAUAACAAGUUCUCUGGAUAAUCUUUGCACUAACUUUGUACAUUCAUGGCCUGCACUCUAACUACCAAAAGAUUGAUCAACGCAAGUGUAUACCACAAGGUAUAAUCAAAACAUAGAUACAGCGAUUUUGUCUUUUUCCCAAUUUAUAUACUUCCUUCCUAAGAUUGCUCUCCAGCAGCAAGUCAUAGGAGAAACUGAAGGUUGGGAACUCACUAGCAAACAUACUUAAGCCAUCAUAAAAUAAUAAAAUCUAAUCCAAAAUAGCCAAAUUCCAAUGGCACUCUUCUACACAGUAUCCUUGGACUUUACAGUCCAUAACAAGUACCAAAUUAUGUAAUGCAUUCUUAUUAAACAAGUGCAAAGUAAAAUGCUUGUAUUCUUUUGUCUAAAACAAGUUGAUUAUAGUCAUUAGAAAUAAAAACUAUGAGGCUUUCUUGUUUGUAGUAACUUCUACUUCUACUAAACCAUAUUAUGAAAAGAUACUUUCACAACAGAAGUGAAAGCCUCAUGUUUUUUUCUAGUCAAGUAGGUAAAAUAGAAAUUCACCAAAGGCAAGGAAACAGUGGCAUUACAAUUACUGGCAUGCUUCUUUACAUGGUACCCUUGUAUCAUUCCACUCCUUCACAAGACCCUGCCAAGUGGCUUUAAAGUGCAAACGUACUGCUUCAGCCACUGAAAGAGGUACCUGUCUGUUGUUGGAAGCCAUACCAAUGAAAAAAGGACAGCUUACUAAGAAACAGAACAUUGAAUCCAAAGACGUCCUAGGUUUAAGAAAUUCUUCGGGCACCAAAUGCAUGGCCCUUCGCAAUCAUAACAAAUCAGGAUUGCAUACCCUGCUUCAAUACUAGUCAUGACUCAAGAGAAUAGGAAAUUCAAUUUCAGAAUUUUUCUAGAGUUCGGAGGGUAAGCCAUCAAAACUGGCAUUAAACAACCUAAUCAUAAAAACUAUAAAGUAUCUAGCAAAGAAAAGGACAAAGAAAAAGGAAAAUUAGCUAAAACAAUUCAGCUUGUACUGCUGGAUCUUUAUACUGGUAAGAGAAAAGCUUUUUCUUCUCAAGUACAUCAGCAGAAUGAAACUGCAAGGAAUUCAUGGCCUCAAAAGGGAUAUACUGUUUCUAAUCUUAAAAUAGAGAAUUGCCCUAGUUCAGAGAUACCUACAAAACCAUCACGAGUCUCCAAUGUGCUAAUUAUGGUGCAUCUGCAUGAACCAAAUAGAUGUUUCCUGCUUGUCCUGAAGAGUUUUGUUUGUUUGAAUUUUCCAUUUUCUAGCUCAAGACACACAUUCCAGCAGUGGGGAGACCGGUGUCGCGAGGGAAGUCCACAAACAAGAAACUUACAAAUAAUGCCAACAAACUCACUGAAGUGCAUAAUGUGUGUUCCAUAUGAAUUAGAGUAGGACAUUUGACAUACAAAUAUUUUCACUGCAAGAAAUUCUUUUAACAACAAAGUUCUACCUAUUAUUAACUGGUCAAUAGUUACAACGGCAAAUAUGGCUAACUAACGCAUUACAAGGUGUCCAAGCCCGAUAUUCAACAGCAUUUAAAGCCAAGCAGUGAGUAAAGACAGCCCUCCAAUACAAGCAUCUAACACAAAUAUGUCAG